UACGUUUAUGUGACACGAUUUGGCUUUAGCUUGAAAAAUAGCACAACUUUAUUCAUUUUUCGAACAAUCGAAUACUGUAACAGCUCACCAUUGACAUGCUAUAACUGUUUCCACAUGUGCUUUGCCCGAAGGUUUUCAUCUUAAAAACAUUUCUUUUUCUUUGCUUCAUGAAAACGCGAUAAUAUUUGAUAGUUUAGCUAAUGCAUAUAGUGUUGUAUUGAUCACGUGUUGGUCUUAGGUGGAAUUUUCCAACUUUAAUCCAAUUGCAAAUUGAAAAUCGGUACACAAUAGUCCACUAUGAUACACCUUGACCGACAGGAAAUUUGAAGUGUUUUUUGCGCAAUCGAUCACCCCUCCAGCUCUGGUGAAUGAAUUUCAUACUGUUGGUGAAUUUACUUUGCUAUUGUACAGCUACGCCGCAUGUUUUGUCAUUUACAUUUCAGGAUAUUGCUGUUGAUUAUUUCCAUUUGACCAUCGCAACGUCAUAACGAAAAUUAGAUUUGAGAAUUUUUCUAGAAAGCGAUGGAAGGAUAUGUCAUUAAUGUACUUUUUUUCGCAUGUGGUGUGUCAUAUUUCACAGUUUGGCUCGAAAAUGCAGUUAAUUGUGGCAUACCGCUAUGUUUUACGAAAGUAAAAAUACAUCGAAAUUCAACUGACGCGCGGGAUAAUAAACAAACUUUUAUAAUUUCUCCCCUGUGAAUGACGAUCUCUAAUGCACAAUUGAAAACCUUUUCAACCAAAGUUUUGUUGACCGUACGCUGUGGCUAGCCGAGAAUCUGAUAGCUGGAGGUUGGUGGCGUAAUAAUUUCGUGCAUUCCCCCGUAGAAGCCAUUCACGGAUUAACUUAUCGUUAACUGCAUGUGUUGCUCAGUCGUAGGUUGGUCGUACAUGGUGUAGCUUCAACCUGGAAGUCAAAAGGUAUGUUUUUGAACACCGUCGAAUCAAAAGGUAUGAAUUGAAUCACUUGUUAUGCAACAGAUGACAUCGAAGACUUGUUUAAACAAGUAGCUAGUCAUCCUUUCUGCCAUCCAAAUGUUGGAAGAGUAAACAUGGGUGGACUUGUUGACGAAUUCUGAAGUGUAAUAUUUCAGGGUUUUUUAUGCUUGGUCCUUUCUUUUACUUUUUUUAUCUCAUUCGUAGACAAGUUAUUGAAUGGCUGUAACCAUGCAACUAUUACAAUAUGAACAAAGAGUUCAGCACGCAUUUUGCUGCUCUUUUGGAUGCUUUUCUGGUUAUUUCAGGCGUCUUCUUCCUGUUUUCAUAGCCAUCCUUUUGGCGGUUCUACUGGGGUUUUUGCUUGGGCAUUUUCUUUCAAAGAAGGAUGACGGUUGCAUGGAUAAAAUGACAGAAGAUUGCUCCCAUGGUUAUGACAAAAGUCGAGAAGUACAGCUUCUUAGUAUGUUGAACAAGAAAAAGAUCGAAAACACGUCAAGGGAAUUUUCGAGAAAACCGCAUCUGGCAGCGUCUCGACGGGAUGUGGAACUGGCCGGAAUGAUAGAAAGUUCUUGGAAAAAGUAUGGAUUUUAUGUCGAGCUACCUACAUAUGAAGUGCUUUUGUCUUUUCCAAAGAAAAAUCUCAGCAACAAAGUGAAAAUCGUUGAUGGACAUGGCUUCACGAUAUUUGAGACUGCAGAUAUCCUUGAUGUCGACGGUGUGCCGUCGUUCCUUGGUUAUUCUUCAGCAGGAAAUGUGUCAGGAAAUCUUGUCUAUGUAAACUAUGGAAUGCAGCAAGAUUUUAACAAGCUUCGUGAUUAUGGGGUGUCGUUAAACGGUUCCAUUGCAUUGAUUCGAUAUGGAAAGAUCUUUCGAGGAAUUAAGGUUUCGUUGGCUGCCGAAAAUGGAGCUGUAGGCGUUAUCUUGUAUUCCGACCCAGCUGAUUAUUCUGCAUAUGGGAGUGGCUCAUGGUCGCUGCCACCAAAUGCUGUUCAAAGAGGCUCGGUAAAUCCCGGACCUAUCUUUGGUGAUCCUCUUACUCAUGGUUUACCCUCGACCUUAGGAAUGUAUCGUAAUUGGUCUGUGAACUUGCCGAAGAUACCAGUUCACGUGAUCACCUCUGAAGAAGCUGAAGUGUUAUUGAAACGAAUGAAAGGUCCUGAAGUGCCUCCUACUUGGACAGGUGCUUUCAAUAUAACAUAUCGCUUUGGCCCCGGCUUUCAGACCCCAGGAGAUAUUAUCAAUUUGGAAGUUCACACUGAAAAUACCCUUAAGAAUGUUUCGAAUGUCAUUGGCACCAUAAAAGGCAGCGUGGAACCAGAUCGUGUUGUUCUCAUUGGUUCUCAUCGCGAUUCCUGGGUUAAAGGUGCUGUAGAUUCGGUAGGCGGAACCUCUAUAAUGAUGGAACUAUCACGUGCUCUAGGCAUGAUGCUGAGAUCGGGUUGGCGUCCUCGCAGGACUAUUAAGUUUUGUAGCUGGUCAGCGGAAGAAUAUGCUUUGAUUGGCUCAACAGAGUAUGUCGAAGAAAACUUCAAGGUACUUUCAGAUCGCGCUGUGGUCUAUCUGAACUUAGACUUGGCUGUAUGUGGUAACUAUACCAUACGAGCAUAUUCCAGUCCAAUGCUUAAUGAUCUUAUUAGAAAUGUGGUAGGCGAUGUUACUGAUCCUUAUGACCGCAGCAGAACUCUCUAUGACGUCAUGGUCGAGCGGGAUUCAUCCUCCGGGAGUACUAAACCAAAUAUACGAACUCUCGGGGCAUUCAGCGACUAUGCUCCAUUUUAUCAAUACCUUGGAAUUCCUGCUAUUGAUUAUGGGUAUCUAUUUAUUGACGAGAAAAAACUGGCAUUUCCUUAUCCAGUUUAUCAUGCGUUGGCUGACACAUACGACUGGAUCAAACAGCACCUCGAUCCUGAUUAUGAACUUCAUUUAACAAUCGCGAAGCUCACUGCUAAACUUCUAUUGCGUUUAAGCGACAAACCUUUGCUGCCUAUGAGCAGUGUCUUAGAUUAUGCAAAGGUUCUCAAUGAUUCGCUCGAGUAUAUUGAAAAAACGUUUAUCACUGUGUUGCAAAACAGGAAUAUCUCACUGGAGCAUCUUGGAAACGCAGUGCGAAGUUUCACGAAGUAUGCCAAAGCAUUUGAAGCGCAUUUGGCUUCCUACGAAGGCGAGGAGGCCUAUCGAAAAGUUCGCAUUUUAAACGAUCAAAUGAUGCAAGUUGAAAAAUCCUUUCUACACCCCGGUGGUCUUCCUGGUAGAGAACAGUUCAAACAUCUUGUUUUUGCUCCUAGCUUAUCUAAUAUCUACGCUAGUGCCAGGUUUCCCGGCAUCACGGAGGCGUUAGAUAAGUGUCAACGAAAUAGUUCAAGGUGUACGGAAGUAAAAUAUCAGGUUUCUUUAGUGACGCUAAACACACAGCAAGCUGCGCGUAUUAUGAGGCCGGUCCUGCGCCGAGAGCCAUAAAAUCCCAAGUUCAGUGUCGAUCAAUGAAAACAAUUUAAUCAAAUUCACUAUUCACAACAACAAACUAAUACGUUAAUUUCAAAUGGAGAUGUAAUCAUUCUUACUAUUCAAGCCAUGUUCAAAAGCCAGUGAUUUGUUUAAAGCUAAAACAACAGCGAAACGAUGGAACUGUCCUACUUUCCUAACAACGUGAUAUUACUUCAAAAGAGUUCGAGCUGGAAAACAAGAAAAUUAGGUAUACUUUUUCCCCUACAAACGCCACAAAAACAACUAAGAGACACCUGCAUUAUUUCUAAGGUUAAAGCUAGAAGCGAGUGAUUGCUAUGAUGUUAAUAUUAUUACUAAGUUUAAAACAAAAAAAAGGGCAAUGUAAUCUCAUAAUUUUUGUGUUUUUGAAAAGGAUGGAGGAGAGAGGGUUGAAUGUUAGUUUACAAAAUUGAUUCAUCAACCUUUUAAAUCGCAAACCCAGAAUUCAACUCAGCUUCCAGCUCAUCAAUUGUUACAAUAGAUUGGCAAAGGUUUCCAAACUUAGAUAACUGCUUUUUGUGAUGCAUUUUUUACUUAUAACCAACAUUUUCUCCGUCAAUUUAACUGCGCCACGUAUUCAACGACUGAGUGAUGGAAAGCAUUUUCUUGAAAACAAAAAGGUAUUGAUAACAAAUUUCACAAAUUUCAUCCUUCACAUAUUAGUAACCAGGGUUCAUAAAGACUGAAAAUAUUUUCCUGAAUAUAUUGCGUUUAACAUAUGCGCAUAUGCGUUUGAUUUACUCGUUCCAGUUCGUUCGCAGACCAAAUUUAAUAUGGCAGCCAAUGUGCAAUUCUUGACUUGAGUCGCUUGUCAGAAUUCAGCUUACCAAAACUUAUACCGUACAAUUCUUAUUGUUCAUGAUCCAUAACGAAGGGAAAAUGUUUGAGCUGUCCUGCACUUUCAUCAAAUUGGUGGAUGCUUAAUAACGACUAGAUAAAGUUUCUGUAACUUCUUGAAAGAUUGUUAAAAUCGUCUUUCUCUCCUUCAUUGGCGUAAAUUAAUCCCCCUUGGACCUGGCCCGAUGCACCGUAGAAGAAGAAACGAGGUACGGUCCAAACAGUUUCGCUCGUCGGAUCUGCUUUCCCCUACAGGAAAAGGAAACGGCAUUGCAGGUCGAGCGUCCCCAUUCAUAUCAAAUUCGCAAACGUCUUCCUCAUCACGUUCUCUGGAAGUUAUGUAAGCGUUGUUGAUGUGGCAUUUUUGAUACUGUAAGGCAAGAACAAUGCAGAUGCAUUAUUUCAUUUGCUACUUUCAUUGUUCAUGAGAUAAAAUGAUUAAAGACAACUAUCAGUUCGGAGCAUGAUUAUUCCAAUAUGUUGUGCGAUUUUUUUGUCGAUUAACACGAUUCGAAACCUGCAAUUUCACUUAGUGAAUGAACUUCACACAAAAAAAUCAAAGAGUUUAGAAGAUAAAUUGGUCCUGAAUUACUGGACUUCACUAAGGGCAGUCAUCUCACUAAAUAUAAUUUCUAAUAUUUUGGCUGCAGCGUCUUAUUAAGCUAUUUUCAACCUUCCUUGGAGUUUUCGACAUACAAAUUUUGUUGACCACGAAAGCUCGUAAUGAACAGGUCUCCUUUUCAGAUCAGGUUACUGAUCUCAAAUUUUCACUUUCUCUCUCUCUAAGAAAAAGUAUUGUUGAAUUUAGGCCUUGGGCCCUUGUAUGGGAUAAAAAUUACAUUUUAGAAUUUAAAGCAAGCCAGGAAGUGAACAUUUGUGCUAUCGAAAGAAAUUUUUACGAAAAGUUGGCGUUGAUUUCUUAUAGGUGCGAGUGGCAUCACACUGCGCACUGCUCAUUCUUACCAUAUUUACAAACAAUACAUGGGUACUCAUCUCCGAUAAUACGGGAUUUUCCCUCGGGAGAGACUUUCCGGCCGGAGAGUUGGAGUAGAACAGAAGAGCAACUUAGCAAGAAGACUACUAAUUUUUUUCAACGCAAUUUUUCGUGAUGUCUUCGUUUAAUUUACUGGCUAUAUUUUUCUCUGCCUCAUUAGCACUAACGGAUGCUGAGUUUGUAGAUUGUGGAACUUAUGUAUGCUACCCUGCUUCAUACCAGACUGCAUAUUGUUGUGACUCAGAAUGCUGUUAUGAAGUUGAUGUCAUAGCAACAUGGUGGUUUUGGUUUGUGCUGGUAAUGGUCACUGUUUUCUUUGCCAUUUUCAUCAUUGUUUUAUGCCGUCGACGUUUGAAUAGAGUUGGUUAUGUAGUGGUGAGACGAGAGCAAUAUGUACCAAAUACAGUCAUAACUCAACAUGGAAGUCAGGUUCUAACUUCGGGAACAGUGUAUGCACCAAGUUAUGGUACUAUUCCUCCCCAUGAUGGUGGAUAUCCUGCUGGUUAUAAGGGGAAUGAUCCAACAGCACCACCAUAUGCAGCACCACCAUAUGCAGCACCACCAUACGCAGCACCACCAUAUGCAGCACCACCAUAUGCUCCACCAAAUAAUCCUUCAGGAAAAGUGCAUUAAUUACAUAUCAAGAUUGAGCAUUACAGUAGACACUUAUAUUAUAAGACAUGCACUGAAAAUCUUAGUCAAAUCUUUUUCAGAAAUAUUGGAGUACAAUAUAUGUAAUGUAGUUGUUCUUAAUGAAUGUUGAUUGCAAUAAGUUAAUUACAUUUGUUGUUAUUUUGGUAUCUAUGUAUUACAAAUUUACAACAUAUGUGACUUAUAGAAGUUUAAACAUAA